AUGUUCCUUAAGCUCCAACAGGUACAUAGGAUAUCUUAUGUUAAGACAUCACACAUAAUAUCUUGUGAACACUCUUUGUUUUACCAAAAUUGCUGCCAACACUAAGAACCAACAGUAUGAGUGAUUUAUACAUUGAUUGCGUUCAUUUAUAAAUGGAGUGAUUGUCGUGGCCACAAAAAUAAAUAUAAAAAAUUGAAAAUCUAAGAACCAUGUGAUAUAAUUGCACCUUAUCUUUUACCGGUAAUGAUAGUUUUCAAGCAACCUGAAGUUUGUUUUAUGGGAAAAACAUGUAAUGGAUACUUAUAGUGUGUAGAUUAACAGAAGGAAGCAAUGAAGCCUAGAGAGAACAAGAUGGGAAUAUAUAUGAAUAAAAUUAAAAUAAUAUAUAUGAAUAUAAUUUUCAAUAAUUAUAUAAAAUUUUGAUCUAACUAUUUUAUUGAAUAUAUUUAAUAUAGAAGUUUAAUCUUUAAUCAAUAUAUAUAUUAUUUUUUACGUAGUAAUCAUUUUAUUCAUAUAAUUAGUUUUAAAAAUAUUUUAUACACUUGAGAAUAUAAAUGAUCAAUUAAAACUGUUAAAUUAAAAGAAAAUAAAUAACUAAAAUUUAUAGAGAUUUUGAAAUUUACUCUUAAAAUUGACUCAUAAAUCUAAAAUAUCAAAUUAUACAUAAUUUAAGUUCAACUCAUUUAAUUAACGAAUUUAUUUAUUUUUUCGUAUUCAACUUAUUUGAUUUAUUAAUCAAAUUCAACGACUUAGUUUUCGAAUUAUGUUCGAGUUGAUUUAGUUCAUUAUUAAUUUUAAGUAUUAUUGAUAUCUUUAAGUAAUUUAUUUAAAAUUUGAUUUCAAUUUUUCAAUUAUAAUAAUAUUUUUUAUUAACAUAUUUCUAAUUAUAUUCAAUUUUUUCUACACAAUCUCUAAUAUAAAAAAAUCACUAACUAUGAAUCAAGUUGUGGUCCAACUAAAAGAUGCUUUUUUAUAUACUAUUGUUUCUUUCCUUCUUUCUCUAACAUUAGGAAAAUGGCUAUAAUAAAUAGGUGGUCACGUAUCUAAAUCUGAAAUAAUUCAAGCUAAUUAAAGUAAUAGUAAGACUUCUAUCUAAGACGUCAUUACAGAAUUUAGUUUUAAGAUGAUGGGACUCUAUAUCUUUUCAAUGUGGAAUUUAGAAUCUUUUCAAUAGAUUCUCUCACAUGUAACACUUUUGUUAGAUUUAGUAAGUGAAUAUUAAUAAUCGGUAAUCAAGGAUCUGAUUGAUAUUACUUUAAUACCAUAUUAGAAUUUGAUAUAACUCAUCUUUAUAAAGUUGAUUUAUAAGGUGAGAAAUAUCAUUUUAUAUAAAUUCUUUCAAUUCUCUAUCUUCAAUUAAUAUGAAAUUUGAGAUUUUUUUAAUACACUCACUCACGUCCAAUACUAUUAGAUUUGAUGCGUGAAUAUAAACAAUAAAAUAAUUCAUCUUUACAAAAGUAAAUUAUAAGAUGGAAGAUGUCACUCUAUAUAAAUAUGAAUAUAUGAAUGAAAUACUGAAAGGUGAACCUUUAUCAUCUAUGUUAGAUAGUAAUUUAACUUCUCGAGGAGUUGAAGAAGUGGAAAGCAUGAACUCUUGUUGGAAUCUCCUCACUGUGAAUAUUAAUGAUGAUGAAGCCAUGCUAUGCUAUGCUACCAGGAUGAUAAAAAACACAACAGAGCUAAUAAUAAGUGUUGU
rnacentral:lncRNA from 1 species